rnacentral:rRNA from 1 species
AUGCCACCCUCACCCGCGCUGCUGCUGGACGGCGGGGCCUUGUGGCCUGCCUCGCUCGAAGCAGCAACAGGGGGCGACAGAAGCAAAGAAGUCGUUGGUAUUGGGCGGCCGGAUGGAGGCCGCGUCGCCAUACGAGCACGCGGACGAUGCUCCUGCGGUGGCAGCGGUGAUGGCCAGACUCAGAAGUGCUUCAGGGAGGAAUUGGAUGGGUGGGAGCAGCUGCGGGUGGCGUGCGGCAGGGUCAAUGAGAUAGUCGACGAUGGGAACACCAGUUUGACGCCGACAUGGCCUGCUCCUGCUGCCACCCCAGCAAAGUGUACUGCUAUAGCCAAGUCGUGGGAGAAACCACCUGAGGGCAUGAUGAAAUUGAAUUUUGAUAGCUCAUUCAUGGGGAGUACAGGCGAUGUGGGUGUUGUCAUGAUCCUUCGAGAUGCACAAGGACAGAUUGUGUUCUCUUCCUGCAGAUCAUUGCAACGCUGCUGGUCAGCCCUUGAGCCCGAACUAUGUGCCUGCUUGGAGGGCAUGUCGCUUGCACUAGAUUGGAGCCAUGUGGAUGUUAUGGUGGAAACUGACUCAGCUGAACUUGCUGCAAUGAUAAAUAGCUCCUCCCGUGACUGCUCACAGCUGGGACAUCUCGUUGAGCAGGUGAAGUAUCUCAUGAGACAGGGAAGACGUUUUUCCAUCAACAAAAUCAGUCGUGAACAGAACCAGCAAGCCACCUGCUAG